rnacentral:rRNA from 1 species
CCCCUAGGUCAGUUGGGAUUGCCCACUGAGUUUAAGCAUAUCAAUAAGUGGAGGAAAAAAAACUUACCAAGAUUCCCCUAGAAACUGUGAGCAAAUUGAGAGUAGCCCAGCUUGAGAAUUGAGUGCCCCUGGUGUCUAAAUUGUAGGUUGGAGAAACAUCAUCAGUGGUGGACAAGGCCCAAGUCCCUUGAAAAGGGCCAUUAGAGAGGGCAAGAGCCUAGACCAUGUCAUACCAUGAGGUGCUAUCUGCUAGUUGGGUUGUUUGGGAAUGUAGCCCUAAUUGAGUAGUAAAUUUCAUCUAAGGCUAAAUAUAGGUGAGAAACUGAUAGCUAACAAGUAUUGCAAUGGAAAAAUGAAAAGGACUUUGAAAAGAGAGUCAAAGACUAAUUGAAAUUGUCAGGAAGGAAGUGGAUGGGCACCGACAAUGCACCCCGAUCGAUGUGGAAUGGUGAGAGUCGAUCCAUUGAUCAAGUCAUGACGUAGAUUAAUGUAGGUUAUGAUGCUGGCCUAAGGUCGAGCUUUCAAUAUACCUAUGGAAAUGUCAUUGCCACAAUUAUGUGCGAGUCCAUCUUGAAACAUAGACCAAGGAGUCUGACAUGUGUGCAAGUUAACAAGCUAGAAAACCCAUAAGGUGCAAGGAAGCUAAUUGGUGGGAUCCCUUGUAGGUGCACCACCGAUUGAUCUUGAUCUUCUGAAAAGGGUUUGAGUGUGAGUAUGCCUACCAAGACCUAAAAGAUGGUGAACUAUGCUUGAGCAAGGCAAAGCUAGAGGAAACUCUGGUGGACACCAUAGUGAUAUUGAUGUGCAAAUCAUUCAUCUUACUUGGGUAUAAUGUGAAAGACUAAUCAAACCAUUUAGUAACUGGUAACUUUUGAAGUUUCCCUCAAGAUAGUUAGAGCCCUUAAUGAGUUCUAUUGGGUAAAACCAAUGGUUAGAGGCAUAGAGAGUGCAACACUUUUGACCUAUUCUCAAACUUUAAGUAAGUAAGAUGACACAACUGUUUCAUUAAGUUGGAUCAUGGAAUCAAGAGCUCCAAGUGGGCCAUUUUUGGUAGAUAGAACUAGUGAUGUAGGAUGAACUAAAAGUCAAGUUAUUGUGUCAAACUGUACACUAACCUUAAACCCACAAAGGUUGUUAUUCAAUUAAGAUAGCAGGAUGAUGGUCAUGGAAGUUGAAAUUCACUAAGGAGUGUGUAAUAACUCACCUAUUGAAUAAACUAACCUAAAAAAUGGAUGGUGCUUAAGUGCAUGACCUAUACCGAGCCAUCGAGGCAAGGGACAGGCCUAAUAAGUAGGAUAGCUUAGUGGUCACCACAAAACCUGAGGCUUGAGCCCAAAUAGAAUAGCCAUCAGUGUAGAUCUUCAUAGUAGUAGCAAAUAUUUAUAUGAGAACUUUGAAGGGUGAAAAAGGGAAAGGUUCCAUGUGAACGGCACUUGUACAUGUGUUUGUUGAUCCUAAGAGAUGGGAUAAAGUUAUCCGACAACGUGUCCAUUGUGAGCUUAGAAAAGGAAUCGAGUUAAAAUUCUUGAACUAGGAUGUAACGGCUGACAAUAAUGUCAAAAAGUCUAAAGACAUUGGUGGACGCCUUGGGAAGGGUUAUCUUUUAUGUUUAAUGCUUGGCCCACCCUAGAAAUGGUUUACCUAAAGGUAGGGUCCAAUGGUUGGAAGAGCACUACACAUUGCAUGGUGUUCGGUGCACCCUUGGUGGCCCUUGAAAAUUUGAAGGAUCGAGUACUCAUAAUCGCAUUAAGUUUCCAAGGUGAACAGCCCUUAGUUGAUGGAAUAAUGUAAACAAGAGAAGUCGACAAAAUGGAUCUAUUACCUUAAGAAAAGGAUUGGCUAUGAGGGCUAGACAUGAGGGUUCCAAUCCCAAACCCAUUGGCUACUAAUGCACUGUUUGAACUACUUUUAUAGCUAGAGUGGGUCACUGUGUGCCGGCCAGAGGAUGAACUGGGAAUAGCUCACUCAAGGCCCUUCCUUGAGCAACGAAUAGUUGAGUUAGAACUGGUAUGAACAUUGGGAAUCCAACUAUUUAGUUUAAACAAAACAUUGCGAUGGUCCUUGUGGAUGCUCACACAAUGUGAUUUCUACCCAUUGCUCUAAAUGUCAAAGUGAAAAAAUUCAACUAAGUGUGGGUAAAUGACGAGAGUAACUAUGACUUUCUUAAGGUAGCCAAAUGCCUCGUCAUCUAAUUAGUGAUGGCAUGAAUGGAUUACUGAGAUUCCCACUAUCCCUAUCUACUAUCUAGUGAAACCACAACCAAGGGAUUAGGUUUGGUAGAAUUAGCGGGGAAAUAAGACCCUGUUAAGCUUAACUCUAGUCUGACUUUGUGAAAUAACUGGAGAGGUGCGAGAUAAGUGGGAGCCUUCAGGCAAAAUUGAAAUAUUAAUACUUUUAAUGUUAUUUUACUUAUUUCAUGAAUCAAAGGUAAGGCACGACCCAUUUUCUUGGACCUAAGGCUAGCCUCGAUUGGUUGAUUUGGGCAGAAGACAUUGUAAGGUAGGCUGUUUGGCUAAGAAGCACAUCUGUUAAAAGAUAACAUAGGUGUCGUAAGAUGUGCUCAACAAAAAGAGAAAUCUCAUGUGGAACAAAAAGGUAAAAGCUUAUUUGAUUCUAAUUUAAAGUGUAAAUAUGAACCAUGAAAACAUGGCUUAUCGAUCCUUUAAACCUUCAAAAUUUUAAGCUAGAGGUGUCAAAAAAGUUACCACAAGGAUAACAGGCUUAUGGCAGCCAAGCAUUCAUAGUGGCAUUGCUUUUUGAUCCUUUGAUGUCAGUUUUUCCUAUCAUUUUUGUGAAGUAGAAUUCACUAAGUGUUGGAUUGUUCACCCACCAAUAGGGAACGUGGGCUGCAUUUAGGCUAUUGUGAGAUAGCUUAAUUUUACCCUGCUAAUGGUAGCAUCACAAUAGUAAUUCAACCUAGUACAAGAGGAACUAUUGAUUCAUACAAUUGGUCAUGGUGUUUGGUUGAAAAGCCAGGGGCACGAUGCUACUAUGCACUGGAUUUUAACUAAAUGCCUUUAAUUGAGAAUCUAGGCUAAAAGCGAUGCACACACCCAUCACUUGAUUACUGACCCAUAGUAGGGACCCAUGGCCCCCCAAAGGCACAUGUCAUAGGUGUGGCACAUGUCAUAGGCCUAUGCCCUUGAGGCGGACAAGCUAUGUGGACCUCCUUAGAGCUCAAUUACCACUGAACAAUAGGUAGAAUC